AUUGAACGCUGGCGGCAGGCCUAACACAUGCAAGUCGAGCGGAUGAAGGGAGCUUGCUCCUGGAUUCAGCGGCGGACGGGUGAGUAAUGCCUAGGAAUCUGCCUGGUAGUGGGGGAUAACGUCCGGAAACGGGCGCUAAUACCGCAUACGUCCUGAGGGAGAAAGUGGGGGAUCUUCGGACCUCACGCUCUCAGAUGAGCCUAGGUCGGAGUAGCUAGUUGGUGGGGUAAAGGCCUACCAAGGCGACGAUCCGUAACUGGUCUGAGAGGAUGAUCAGUCACACUGGAACUGAGACACGGUCCAGACUCCUACGGGAGGCAGCAGUGGGGAAUAUUGGACAAUGGGCGAAAGCCUGAUCCAGCCAUGCCGCGUGUGUGAAGAAGGUCUUCGGAUUGUAAAGCACUUUAAGUUGGGAGGAAGGGCAGUAAGUUAAUACCUUGCUGUUUUGACGGUACCAACAGAAUAAGCACCGGCUAACUUCGUG
rnacentral:rRNA from 1 species